GAUGAACGCUGGCGGCGUGCCUAAUACAUGCAAGUCGAGCGAACGGACGAGAAGCUUGCUUCUCUGAUGUUAGCGGCGGACGGGUGAGUAACACGUGGAUAACCUACCUAUAAGACUGGGAUAACUUCGGGAAACCGGAGCUAAUACCGGAUAAUAUUUUGAACCGCAUGGUUCAAAAGUGAAAGACGGUCUUGCUGUCACUUAUAGAUGGAUCCGCGCUGCAUUAGCUAGUUGGUAAGGUAACGGCUUACCAAGGCAACGAUGCAUAGCCGACCUGAGAGGGUGAACGGCCACACUGGAACUGAGACACGGUCCACACUCCUACGGGAGGCCGCAGUAGGGACUCUUCCGCAAUGGGCGAAAGCCUGACGGAGCAACGCCGCGUGAGUGAUGAAGGUCUUCGGAUCGUAAAACUCUGUUAUUAGGGAAGAACAUAUGUGUAAGUACCUGUGCACAUCUUGACGGUACCUAAUCAGAAAGCCACGGCUAACUACGUG
rnacentral:rRNA from 1 species